UAAUACAUGCAAGUCGAGCGCAUUGGCCCAACUGAUAUGACGUGCUUGCACUGAAUUGACGUUGGAUUACCAGUGAGCGGCGGACGGGUGAGUAACACGUGGGCAACCUGCCCUGAAGCGGGGGAUAACAUCUGGAAACAGGUGCUAAUACCGCAUAACAACGAAAACCACAUGGUUUUCGUUUCAAAGAUGGUUUCGGCUAUCACUUCAGGAUGGGCCCGCGGUGCAUUAGCUAGUUGGUAAGGUAACGGCUUACCAAGGCAAUGAUGCAUAGCCGAGUUGAGAGACUGAUCGGCCACAAUGGAACUGAGACACGGUCCAUACUCCUACGGGAGGCAGCAGUAGGGAAUCUUCCACAAUGGGCGCAAGCCUGAUGGAGCAACACCGCGUGAGUGAAGAAGGGUUUCGGCUCGUAAAGCUCUGUUGUUGGAGAAGAACGUGCGUGAGAGUAACUGUUCACGCAGUGACGGUAUCCAACCAGAAAGUCACGGCUAACUACGUGCCAGCAGCCGCGGUAAUAC
rnacentral:rRNA from 2 species